rnacentral:rRNA from 1 species
GAUGAACGCUGGCGGCGUGCCUAAUACAUGCAAGUCGAGCGAACAGACGAGGAGCUUGCUCCUCUGACGUUAGCGGCGGACGGGUGAGUAACACGUGGAUAACCUACCUAUAAGACUGGGAUAACUUCGGGAAACCGGAGCUAAUACCGGAUAAUAUAUUGAACCGCAUGGUUCAAUAGUGAAAGACGGUUUUGCUGUCACUUAUAGAUGGAUCCGCGCCGCAUUAGCUAGUUGGUAAGGUAACGGCUUACCAAGGCGACGAUGCGUAGCCGGCCUGAGAGUGUGAUCGGCCACACUGGAACUGAGACACGGUCCAGACUCCUACGGGAGGCAGCAGUAGGGAAUCUUCCGCAAUGGGCGAAAGCCUGACGGAGCAACGCCGCGUGAGUGAUGAAGGUCUUCGGAUCGUAAAACUCUGUUAUUAGGGAAGAACAAAUGUGUAAGUAACUAUGCACGUCUUGACGGUACCUAAUCAGAAAGCCACGGCUAACUACGUG